rnacentral:rRNA from 1 species
UGUACACGCUGUGACUAGCAUAUCAAUAAGCGGAGGAAAAGAAACUAACAAGGAUUCCCCUAGUAACGGCGAGUGAAGCGGGAAGAGCUCAAAUUUGAAAUCUUAAAGGGUUUCCCUUUACGAAUUGUAGUUUAAAGAAGUGUUUUCUGUUGAGGUUUUGGUAAAAGUUCUUUGGAAUAGGACAUCAUAGAGGGUGAGAAUCCCGUAUUUGACCUUUACUUUCAACUUUGUGAUACACUUUCAAAGAGUCGGAUUGUUUGGGAAUGCAGUCCAAAAUGGGUGGUAAAUUUCAUCUAAAGCUAAAUAUUGGCGAGAGACCGAUAGCGAACAAGUACCGUGAGGGAAAGAUGAAAAGAACUUUGAAAAGAGAGUUAAACAGUACGUGAAAUUGUCAAAAGGGAAGCGUUUGACACCAGUGUUGUUUUUCUGAAAAUCAAUUAAAGAACUGUUUAUGCUAAGUUGUUUAGACUUUAUCAGCUAACUGUUUAGUUUUGAGCUUUUCUUUAAUGCACUUUUCAGUUAACAAGUCAACAUCAAUUUCUUUUGCUGUAAAAAAGCUUGAGGAAGGUGGCUUGAGAUUCGUCUUAAGUGUUUAUAGCCUCUUGCCUAUGCAGUCGGAGAGAUUGAGGUCUGCAGCGUAGAUCCUUCGGGGCUAAAUGCAUUUGUGCUAAGUUAUAGCAUUUUAUAGACAACUUGUUGACUAUGAUUUGUCUUGUAGCUUACUCGCUUAUGUUAUUUUACCUACGCUUAGGAUGUUGACAGCAGUAUAGACUGU